rnacentral:tRNA from 1 species
GGCACUGUAGCUCAGUUGGUAGAGCACAUGCUUAACACCGCUUCGAGAUCGCAUGUUGUAGUCGGUUCGAGCCCGGCCAGAGUCA